UUUUUUUUUUUUUUUUUAACAGUGUAAGAGAUGAUUUUACAAAUCCUCUAUGGUUUGUAAACGAAUUCCUAGAGGAAGGAAAGGUGACGGACAACAUAUACAGAAAAGGUAAAAACAGGAGCACAUUUCAAUAUCAGCAGUUCUCAAAAUUUGGUAUGCAUAAGAAUCAUCCAAGAGGCCUGUUUAAAAAUGAAAAUCCCUGGAUCCUAUUCCAGUGAUUCUGUCAAGAGGUUCUGAUGUAGAUUUGUACUUUAAACUACCACAAAUGACACAGAUGCAAACUGAUCUCUGAACUAUACUUCAAGAAGCAUUACUGCAAAGUACAAAUGCUUUAUAUGAAUAAUUUCCAUAUACUGAAAAGUAUACUCCAAAUAGCUAGGUAAGAGGUAAAUAUACCAGUUACUCCUUAUUCAAGAUACAAAUAUUAGGCGAUCACAUAAUGACUUCAGACCAAAGCUUGGCUUCUGCAGUUAUUGCUUAAUUAAAAGUGCAAAUAUUUUAAAAAUACAUUAAAGCACAGUAUUUUACCUCAAAUAAUAUAUAUCUUAUGCUUAAUUUCUUCUAUAGCAAAACAUAUAAUACAUAUAGGUACAUGUAUGUAUUUAAUUUUAUUUAUUUAUUUGAAAGAGAGGCAGAAAGAAUGAGCAGAGGGAAAGGAAGACUAGCAGACUUCCUCCUGAUCUCCCAGGAUCCUGAGAUCACGACCUGAGCUGAAAUCAAGAGUCAGACACUUAAAUAACCGAGCCACCCAGGCACCCCUAUAUAUUUUUCUAUGUAAAGUUUUAACACUGGAUCUGUUAUUUCCCAGCUGUGUGAUUUAAGGUAUGUUAUAUAAACUCACUGGGCCUCAGUUUCCUCACCUUUAAAAACGAUAGUAAGAGGGGUGCUGGGGUGGCUGAGUCAGUUAAAUGUCUACCUUCAGCUCAGGUCAUAAUCCUGGGGUUCUGGGAUUGAGCUGUGUGUCGAGCUCCCUGCUCAGCUCUCCCUCUUCCUCUGCCACUUCCUCCGUUUGCGCUCUCUUGCUCUAUCAAAUAAAUAAAUAAAUAAACAAAAUCUCUUUUAAAAAGAAAAGAUAAUACCUAUCUCAGUAGUGACAUAAUUAACACAAAAGUACAUCUGGUCCAAAUUAAGAGUUCAAUAAAUGUUUGUUAGAAUUAUUAUUAUAUGCUCAUCACUUUGAAAGCACCUAAUUCAAUCAAUCUCCCAACCACUUUGCCUAGGCAACAAAGAGGACUGCCUGUAUACAGCUUAUCUGAUAGGCCAUAUACAGAAAGAGCACUACUAACAUAAAGCCUACCUUUAAGAAAAAAAAAAUUAAUAAAAAAAAAAAGCUAGAAACUGAAUUAAACCCUUUAACAACAUUGUUAGAGAGCACAGGAAAAACUGGCAGUGCUAGAAUUUAAUCCCAAACUUAUCCUUUUAAACAUGUAGAGAAUACUGAAUAUGAAAAAGAUAAAAUCAUAUUCUUAGCAAAAAUAUGCAUUCCCUUCCCCUGCCCAAAAAGGACAUGAAAGGUGAAUGGAAAUAUUUCAAUGUCAUCUAGAACCUGAUUCUUUUAAGAAAUUUCAUCCUUCUUCUUAACUCCAACUUCUCUAGCUUCCAGGUCAAGUAUCAGAAUACCUCA
rnacentral:lncRNA from 1 species